rnacentral:rRNA from 1 species
ACGGAAGUUACGAGGAAGCUUGCGAAUUGUAACUUUAGUGGCGGACGGGUGAGUAACGCGUGGAUAACCUGCCUACAUGACCGGGACAACACCGGGAAACUGGUGCUAAUACCGGAUACGCUCAUAGAUACACAUGUAUAUAUGAGGAAAGGAGCAAUCCGCAGGUAGAUGGGUCCGCGUCCCAUUAGCUAGUUGGCGGUGUAAAAGACCACCAAGGCGACGAUGGGUAGCCGGCCUGAGAGGGUGAACGGCCACACUGGAACUGAGACACGGUCCAGACUCCUACGGGAGGCAGCAGUGGGGAGUCUUCCGCAAUGGGCGCAAGCCUGACGGAGCAACGCCGCGUGAGUGAAGAAGGCUUUCGGGUUGUAAAACUCUGUCUUCAGGGAAGAAAAAAAUGACGGUACCUGAGGAGGAAGCCCCGGCUAACUCGUGCCAC